CUUUUGGUUGAUUUCAUUCUGUGUGUAUAAGUUGGGAUUAUAAAGUAAAGACACUAGUUUCCAUGAACUUCCCCCACUACUCUAUAAUCCCGUUUUUUCUACUUCUUUUGAAGCUUUCAUCUCCUACCUUUGUGUGGGAUAAAUGUAAAUUAGCUCAGCUUAUUUUAAGAAAGCAUUAUGACCCUGAAUCCUGAAAACUCUUUGUUUUGUAACAUAACUUUAAAAAUGGUAAAAAAAUUAACCCAGAAGAAAGUGAGUGUUAAGAGACUGUGGUACUACUGUUACGAAAACAGAGAAACCAAUGAAAACUAGUCUGGUUUGGGUUCAAGUAUUUUUGUCUCCAUGAGCUUUAACUUUUGCUUGGUCCACUGAAAAUUCAGAGAAAUUUUGAGAUUCUAAGUGGUAACAAUGUGUGGUAGUUACAGCCUCAGAACAGAGCACCUGGGAGUGGUGGUUUUCUUGUGUAUCACUGUUUGAAUAUUUCAGAAGAGAAGUGAAAUUCUAUAUUCCGAGUUUCAUUGAUUUAUUUAAUUUUUUUUUUUUUCUUUUUUUGCGGUACGUGGGCCUCUCACUGUUGUGGCCUCUCCCUUUGUGGAGCACAGGCUCCAGACGCGCAGGCUCAGCGGCCAUGGCUCACGGGCCCAGACGCUCGGCGGCAUGUGGGAUCUUCCCGGACUGGGGCACGAACCCGUGUCCCCUGCAUCGGCAGGCGGACUCUCAACCACUGCGCCACCGGGGAAGCCCUGAUGGACACCCUUUCUGGUUGGAGGAAGACCAUUUUUAAGACAAAAGAAUAUGGGUGGCUGCACUUCUCUGCUAGGACCUACACCAGAGUUAAUAUGAAAGCUUCACAUGUGAGAUAAAUGCACUCAAAGACUCCUCACAAGUAGCUCUUUGGAGCUUCAGAUGUGAAAUGGAUCAUUCCUCAAUCUGUAAUAGACCCUUCUGUGAAGCUCUUCAAUCAAACCUGAGAAUUCAAGGCAUUUUGUAGCAUCCUAAACAGAAGGAUAUUGAAGGGAGCUGAUUCUGCUUUGAUCCUCGUGCUUGUUGUCAAAGCGCCUGGGAUUGAAGAGACUGUUGGCUGCAAUUGACUGUGACAAUUAGGAGAUGAUCAGAGCCCUAGAGUGGAGCACUUAAAGGGUUUGCAUUUAAAACACUCUUGGAGCACUAAUUGUAUAAAAUUCUGGUAACUGCACAUUUUCUUUUUAGAGAGGUAAUGAGUGAAUGAAUGAAAAGGCAGGGAUUAUUUGCCAUUCUAAGCGGGGAUUGUCAGAACAUUUCUACUUGACUGAAAUUGUUUUGGAAGGUGAGCUGGAACAAGAAUCUUGCAACU